GGGGAACCACCCUGCGUUCCCCUGUUACUUGAAUUAUCCAGGUGAACACAGCUGGUGGUAUCUCAGU
rnacentral:pre_miRNA from 1 species